rnacentral:rRNA from 1 species
AGUGAACGCUGGCGGUAGGCCUAACACAUGCAAGUCGAACGGCAGCACAGUAAGAGCUUGCUCUUACGGGUGGCGAGUGGCGGACGGGUGAGGAAUACAUCGGAAUCUACUUUUUCGUGGGGGAUAACGUAGGGAAACUUACGCUAAUACCGCAUACGACCUACGGGUGAAAGCAGGGGAUCUUCGGACCUUGCGCGAUUGAAUGAGCCGAUGUCGGAUUAGCUAGUUGGCGGGGUAAAGGCCCACCAAGGCGACGAUCCGUAGCUGGUCUGAGAGGAUGAUCAGCCACACUGGAACUGGGACACGGUCCAGACUACUACGGGAGGCAGCAGUGGGGAAUAUUGGACAAUGGGCGCAAGCCUGAUCCAGCCAUACCGCGUGGGUGAAGAAGGCCUUCUGGUUGUAAAGCCCUUUUGUUGGGAAAGAAAAGCAGCAGGUUAAUACCCCGCUGUUCUGACGGUACCCAAAGAAUAAGCACCGGCUAACUUCGUG